ensembl:lncRNA
GGCUGCUUGUUUGGAGGGUGUGCUGUAUAGCUGGAGAUCUCCUUUAGUCUUCUUCACCAGCUGGGUGUCAUAUCUAUGAAGACUUCAGAAAAGAAAUACAUGAGCAAAGUUACUACAAUUCAUGUGGGUAGGAGAGAGAAGUGAUUUGCAGCGGAUUACACUGAAAACACUCCAGGUCUCAUUGAGCUCUGAGGUCACAGUUAUUUACCUGAUAAGCAGGUCAUUCAGCAGAACAGCCACGAUACCUCAGAAGUCAUGGACAUGAAAAAGCACUUACUGUACAGUGAAAAUAAGGUCUUGUGAUAAUAUCUACAACACUGCCUCUUCAAGGACUGCAGAGAAGGAAGAGAAAAACUGAUCUUCCUAAUGACAAGGAUUUUUUUGAAAGUGUCAAGGAAGUGUCAAGGAUGUGUCAAGGGCCACAGCUUCGUGCCCCGGCUGCAGCCGGCCAUUGGGGUGGCCUGCGUCUGUGAAGGAUGGAGUGCCCAGGAAGACAACGUCAUCUACCGCCUGCUCGUGCCCAUGAGACCUCCCCCCGGGCAGACCUUCAAUGUGGAGCUUGGCAUAAGGCAGAUGGUUGUGUCAGCAUCAGGGAAGGGAGAUCUGGUACCUCAACAAGCAGGGAGAAAAUAUGAUCAAACAGCUUGUGGGUUGAGACAGGGACAGGGAGAUCUCUCACCAGCUACCAUCCCAGCUUUUGGAAGACGAAGUCAGUUUAUUGCCAGUUAAUGACAGGGUUGAACAGU